GGGGGCGUAGCUCAGGUGGAUAGAGCAACGGCCUUCUAAGCCGUAGGUCGUGCGUUCGAGUCGCACCGCCCCUACCA
rnacentral:tRNA from 1 species